rnacentral:snRNA from 1 species
GAAUGUGAGGUCAAUAUAGCUGUGACAUCUGUCAACUGUUGUUGAUCCCCAGGAUUAAUUUGACUGUUCUGACUGCCUAGCUUGGUGCUCCCUUCCUUUAUCACCUGUCCGGGUGAUUCCUUCCUAAUGCCUCACACUCAGUCAAAGAGAAUAACCUUCCCUNAUAAUGGAGGAUUGUUCUUCAUUCAGGGUUUAUGAGUAGCUGUGGUUUUUCUGCUAGAACCCUCAGACAAGCUCUCAAAAUGGAACAAAACUUAGAAUGCCACAAGACCAGAUUAUGUGCUAAUUAUAUACUAUUUUAGUUACA